AUUGAACGCUAGCGGGAUGCCUUACACAUGCAAGUCGAACGGAGUGGCGAACGGGUGAGUAAUGUAUCGGAACGUGCCCAGUCGCGGGGGAUAACUACGCGAAAGCGUAGCUAAUACCGCAUACUCUUGGAGCGGCCGAUAUCGGAUUAGCUGGUGGGUGGGGUGACGGCUCACAAAGGCAACGCGCCGUAGCUGGUUUGGGAGGACGACCAGCCACACUGGGACUGAGACACGGCCCAUACGCCUACGGGAGGCAGAAGUGGGGAAUUUUGGACAAUGGGGGAAACCCUGAGCCAGCCAUCCCGCGUGUGCGAUGAAGGCCUUCGGGUUGUAAAGCACUUUUGGCAGGAAAGCGGUACCUGCAGAAUAAGCACCGGCUAACUACGUGCCAGCCGCCGCGGUAAUAC
rnacentral:rRNA from 1 species